GAGGAAUAUUGGUCAAUGGGCGCGAGCCUGAACCAGCCACGUCGCGUGAAGGAUGACGGCCUUAUGGGUUGUAAACUUCUUUUACAGGGGAAUAAAGUGAGUCACGUGUGAUUUUUUGCAUGUACCCUGUGAAUAAGCAUCGGCUAACUCCGUGCCAGCAGCCGCGGUAAUACGGAGGAUGCGAGCGUUAUCCGGAUUUAUUGGGUUUAAAGGGUGCGUAGGCGGGAUAUUAAGUCAGCGGUGAAAGUUUUCGGCUUAACCUUAAAAUUGCCGUUGAAACUGUUAUUCUUGAGUGCAGUAGAGGUAGGCGGAAUUCGUUGUGUAGCGGUGAAAUGCGUAGAUAUAACGAGGAACUCCGAUUGCGUAGGCAGCUUACUAUAUUGCUACUGACGCUGAGGCACGAAAGUGUGGGUAUCAAAC
rnacentral:rRNA from 1 species